UGAAACUAAAAUGCCGGCUCAGCGGAUCUAUCUGGUACCAGAUACGUAUAAGGGUACUAUUUAUGUAUCUGUCCAGUAAAAAGUAGGACGAGAACGAAUUGAACAUGAAAAAGGAGAUGUGUAAUAAGACACAGCAUCCAAACAACACAAAAACUAAAAGACAUCAAGACAUCAAGAGGGAAACGCCAUGCAUGCACCAUCUGUAUCCAGCUUGAAAUUUUAAAGCCUGAGGGACCAGUAUUUUUUAUGGGAAGUCUGACUUUUCCGGAUUUAACAGAAGCUAGGGAUUUGAAUUUCACUAAACAGAUACCACAGACCUGGUCAUGAAAUAUUCAUAAAUAAAUUAUAGAGAAUAAACUGAUGAAACAAUAUGUUCUCCGAGUGUUCGAAAUUCAUUUUUGUAAUUUAACUUAAAAGGAUCUUGUCGAUAAUCGUACUUCUCUGUGCUAUGAUUCACAUUAAAAAAUACAAAAUGAACACCCAAUGUCUAUGCAUUCGUUAGAAGAGAACACGAAAAGAUAUAUAAGAGGAGACACCCUCUACUGGCACAAUUUUUUUUACACAAAACCAGCAGCGGUUAUUACGGCCUCUAAA